rnacentral:rRNA from 1 species
CAGUCUGCAACUCGACUGCACGAAGCUGGAAUCGCUAGUAAUCGCGGAUCAGCACGCCGCGGUGAAUACGUUCCCGGGCCUUGUACACACCGCCGUCACACCAUGGAAGUCUGCAAUGCCCGAAGCCGGUGGCCUAACCACUUAUGUGGAAGGAGCCGUCUAAGGCAGGGCAGAUGACUGGGGUGAAGUCGUAACAAGGUACC